GACGAACGCUGGCGGCGUGCUUAACACAUGCAAGUCGAACGGAAAGGCCUGCUUUCCCUUGUGGAUUGCGGGUACUCGAGUGGCGAACGGGUGAGUAACACGUGAGUGAUCUGCCCCAACUUGGGUAUAAGCCUGGGAAACUGGGUCUAAUUCCCGAUAGGACUUCAGGGUGGUGCCUGUUGUGGAAAACGAUUUUCUAGUGGUUGGGGGUGAGCUCGCGGCCUAUCCGCUUGUUGGUGGGGUAAUGGCCUACCAAGGCGGCGACGGGUAGCCGGCCUGACAGGCUGGACGGGCACAUUGAGACUGAGAAGCGACCCAGACUCCGACGGAAGGCAGAGGUGGGGACGAGUGGAAGAUGGGCGGAAGACUGAUCCAGCGACGCCGCGUGGGUGAUGACGGCCUUCGGGUUGUAAACUGCUUUCGAGGGCGAGGAAGCCACCUGGUUGGAAGGGUGGUGACGGUAGUGGGAGAAGAAGCACCGGCUAACUACGUG
rnacentral:rRNA from 1 species